UACGAGGGGGGCGAGUGUUGUUCGGAAUUAUUGGGCGUAAAGGGUGCGUAGGCGGCCUGACAAGUCUGAUGUGAAAUCCCUGGGCUCAACCCAGGGCCUGCAUCGGAAACUGUCGGGCUUGAGUAUGGGAGAGGUGAGUGGAAUUUCCGGUGUAGCGGUGAAAUGCGUAGAUAUCGGAAGGAACACCUGUGGCGAAAGCGGCUCACUGGACCAUUACUGACGCUGAGGCACGAAAGCUAGGGGAGCAAACAGG
rnacentral:rRNA from 1 species